rnacentral:rRNA from 1 species
GAAUUUUAUAUUUUAAUAUGUAAUAAUAUAUAAUUAAAAUAUUUUAUUGGGAGGAUAUUUAAAUUUAAUAAACUUUAAUUAUUAAUAACAUUGAUGAAUGAAAAUUUUAAAAAAUAUUAAUAUUUAAGAAUAAAUGAAUAAUUAUGAAUUAUUAAAGAAUUAAUUACCUUAGGGAUAACAGCAUAAUAUUUUUUUGUAGUUCAUAUAUAAAAAAAUGCUUGU